GACGAACGCUGGCGGCGUGCCUAAUACAUGCAAGUCGAACGCAGUGGGGACGGGUGAGUAACACGUGGGUAACCUCCCAUCAGAGGGGAUAACACUUGGAAACAGGUGCUAAACCGCUACUGAUGGAUGGACCCGCGGUGCAUUAGCUAGUUGGUGAGGGAACGUCUCACCAAGGCCACGAUUCAUAGCCGACCGGAUGGGGUGAGCGGCCACACUGGGACUGAGACACGACCCAGACUCCUACGGGAGGCAGCAGUGGGGAAUUUUCGGCAAUGGACGAAAGUCUGACCGAGCAACGCCGCGUGGUUGAAGAAGGUUUUCGGAUCGUAAAACUCUGUGGUUAGAGAAGCGGUAUCUAACCAGAAAGCCACGGCUAACUACGUGCCAGCCGCCGCGGUAAUAC
rnacentral:rRNA from 1 species